CUAAAUCAGAGAAUUUUUAAGGAAUUUAGAGGUUCAGAGUAACCUUAAAAAGUAACUUAAUAACAUAACUUUGUUCUCCAAAAACUUUACUGUCUUUUCAAUUUUCUGGUUCUUCUUCAUUUCUUGUCCACCACUUUAUCAUAGCUUCUGUUUUUCACAUAUGCCCACACGACCUAAAAUGAGCUUACCAUUUUUUCUACAAUGGAGCCAUCUCAACUUUUUCUCUGCUGUUUAUUUAAUUUAUUUAAUUCAGGGUUAAAAACCAUGUAAUGGACUAAUUUUAAAACCUAACUUUCUUUUUUAGGUGCUGCACUGUCUGUAAAGAGAAGUGACAUAUUGGCUCUUGCUAUAGGUAUGAUGGACUCUUUGAUCCUCUACAAUCAAUGAUUGGUUUAUUGUGUCAUUCACGGGUGAUAAUUCUGGAUGUCACAAUGAAUGUUGGGAUAAAAUGGUUUGUUUAAAUCGAGUAAAACUUCUGUUUCAUGAAUGGUGUGUUCAUCAACUGGUAACAAUUAUAGCAACUAUAGAAGAAAGGCUUAAGUGGGGUGUGGGUUUUCCUACUAUAGGUGUUUCAAUUGUUUUACAUGCACUGAGGCAUUCUUUAGAAUCAAGUGCAUUUCAGAUAUGGCUCAAUAAAUGUUAUAUUUGAUUUAGACUGAAUCACCAUUUAAGUCUAUAAAUUACAGGGGUUGAAAUUUUUAAUGUUAGUCCUUUUGGGUCGGUCAAUAUAGUCCUUGAAAUUGUCUUGAAGAUACUAAAGUGAUUGAAAAUUUUCAAUUUCAAUGAUCAUUUUAGAAUAUGUUAAUUUUAGGGGCUAGAUUGCAUGAUGUCGUGACCAAUACUAUUAUAAGACUGAAAUAGGUUAUUCGCUCUUUCGUUUUAUGUUAUUUGAUGUGUCUAUGCUAGGUGGUGCUUACCUAAAGAUUCUUGAUGGCUACAUUAGUUCAUAUGUUGUUGCUAUCUGAUGAAUGGAAAAUUUAAAUUUGUUGGUCGAGGGUUGAGUACCUCGAUUGGUUUGAGCUAAGGGUUAAGAAGUUGGAGGUCGUCUGUUCAAAUUUUGGUAAUGUCGACAUUGUCCAUGACAGUGAUUAUAAUUAUGAUGUGUUGUUCAAUUUUAAUAUUUAAGGCUCAUUCUACGCAUGCUGAUAACUUAAUCCUGCCAAGCCCUGUAUAUUAACAUUGAUUAGUUGCUCAAUAUUACAGGUGGAUAUCUAAGCUGUAUUUCGAUGAUAUUCUAGAAAAUACAGAAGCAAAUAUAUGUCUUGUUAUCGAUGCUCGUAUUUGGAGGAUUCUAUAAAUUGAGCCAUCUUCUGCUGCUAGUUCAGGUUGAAGUUGAACUAGUGAUAAAUGAUAAAAAUAAACUAAUGUUGUGCAAAAUUAGUUCAGUGUUGCUUGUAGCUAAAAUGUUAUGCUGCCAUGC
rnacentral:lncRNA from 1 species